rnacentral:tmRNA from 1 species
GGGGGCGAUUGGGCUCGACGGGGGUUACGAGGCUCAGGUGGCAUGCCGUGGCUCCAUCACCACGUAAAAAGAUGGAAAAAACACAAAAGCCAAUAACGAACUGGCACUUGCCGCUUAACUAAAAACGGCACGUCUCUCCGGGUAAGCCCGCGGCCCGGUCUGACGCAGGUAGCGGGCUAAGCUUCCGGGUGGCCUCUUUCCGGAAGACGAAAACCAAAUAAGGGGGAUAGGCGCG